CCGAUGCAAUGAUGAUUGCAUAGUUCAGCAGAUAACCAUGAAGAAGAAACGAAAGUCUUUCGCUCCUAACUGAUGCAAAGG
ensembl:snoRNA small nucleolar RNA snR60/Z15/Z230/Z193/J17